UAGCCGCGGUAAUACAGAGGGUGCAAGCGUUAAUCGGAAUUACUGGGCGUAAAGCGCGCGUAGGUGGUUUGUUAAGUUGGAUGUGAAAUCCCCGGGCUCAACCUGGGAACUGCAUUCAAAACUGACUGACUAGAGUAUGGUAGAGGGUGGUGGAAUUUCCUGUGUAGCGGUGAAAUGCGUAGAUAUAGGAAGGAACACCAGUGGCGAAGGCGACCACCUGGACUAAUACUGACACUGAGGUGCGAAAGCGUGGGGAGCAAACAGGAUUAGAUACCCCCGUAGUCCCUGUCUCUUAUACACA
rnacentral:rRNA from 1 species